AGACCGAGGCCCCGUUGCGCGCGGCCGCCUUCGGAGCGCCGCCCUCCUCCCGAAACCGGCCGGGGCGAGUGGCUGCAAGAAGCUGCGGUUUGGCCCGCGGGAGAGGGGGGCUUCCCCGCUGGGGUUGUCUGACGCGAACGCCUUCCUGGCCCCAGCCAGGCGCCCUGAGAUGAUGAAGGUUUAAGAAGCAGCAUCAUCAGCGAACUGUGUUUUGAAGAUUUGAGGGAAGGGCUGACCUCAGGAUUUUAUACUAGUUGCUGACCUCCAUAACAGCAGACAAAAUUGGAAGCAAGAGUGAUUUUGGAGGAGUCACACUUAGAUGUUUCCCUUACCUAUUUCUGUUCUGGAAAUUUAAAAAUCUUACUUCUCGUGACAGUCCUACAUGAAAAAUUAAAAAUCACAAGGAUUCAUGGAUGGAAAACUGAGACUCAGAGAAUGAUCACAUUCACAUCG
rnacentral:lncRNA from 1 species